AGCGUAUAAACUUUUGCAGACAACCGUUUAUGAAAGGUUUUUGCGGAAUAGCAGCCUUCAUGCAUGUGAUAUUAAUUUUGUCGGUAUAAAACUGUGAACACUCGAAAUAAUUAUACCCGUUAUACGAUAUUUAAUGACGGGUGCAGUGCUUUCACUUUUUGUAGUAAGUAUAUCUCGUAACUGAAUAGGGAUUCACUGAGGUUCAGGAAUGGAAACAGUUUAAUCUAGAGUGGCGCUUAGCAAUAGAAUGUAGAGUACUGAGUAGUUGUUUCCAUGAGGCUUCAUAUCAGUUGUAUAUAAAGUCUCGAUUAAAGGCCACCUUAUAAUUUAUUUUUUAAUUACCUAAGCGCCAGCAAAAAAUAAUUCCAGAAUUUACUUGGAUUAGAAUUUACUUAGAUUAGAAAAUGGAAUUGGAGUAAAAUAAAAAUAAUUUUGUGAACUUGGUGCUCCUUUAGAGUGGCGCUGCAAUUAGAAGACGGUAUUCGUGUUUCAACGCCAAGAAACCGCACCCACCCACUAACAAGUUUUCAUAUGUAAACGUAUAAAAUACCGGUAUGUACGUGGGCCAGUUUAAAUUUUCGCGGUACCAUAAUUAUUCGAUUUAAGGCAACAUUUUAAAAUAAUUACGAAGCCAGAGGUCGUUUCUUUUUGGAGGUUUAAAAAUUAUGUUGAAGUCCUGGUGUCGCAUAUUUAGAGGGUCGCAUCUAAUUGGAGGUUAUUCUACUAUCUUCGAUUAUAGGCCGCUUAAAUUACAUUGUUUCUUGCGGCCUGGAAUCGAGGCUAUGGUUUGACCUCUAUUUAGGACGCGACAUAAAAAAUAAUUGUCAACGUAGCACGCGCUAGAACUUUUAGAGGUUAUAAAAUUGGAAAAAAUCGAGGGUGUCGCAUAUUUGGCCAUUGGAGGAUCGCUUUAAAUCGAAUAAGUAUGCAAAAUUUCCCGCUAUAUAGACGUCUACGGUAGUUCACUCUUACUUUUGGUGCUGAUGACUUGAGACUUCUGCUCUCCUUUGGAACUCAAAGUGCAAAGGACAGCGCGAUCUGAAGAAAUUUCUAAGGACUUGGACUUGAUAUCAGAAAAGCAGCUGCAACUGCAUUGCAGUGCAUUGCAGAAAAAUUGAUCAUGUGAUCCAGAGCCUCCCCUUGCCAUGUGCGCGCACACACACAAAUGCAGUCUUCUUCUCUGUGACCUGACUCUCAGACUGCCAGUAGACUGUUCUGAUCCCAAGCAACAGCAGGAUCUGCUAAGGGAGCAAUGGCUAAUAUCCAGCUAUCCCAACAGUGCUCCUCUUGGCUAUACUAACGGACGAGACUGGACAGUUUGAGGACUGGAGUAUGACCUGCUCGUUCGAGCGUUGCUGGGUAGCUCAGAGGCAUCAAGAGAAUCUACGUUUUCUCAAGCAAAAUUUAACUGAGUUACGAGUUGGGGCCUAGAAUCAGAGAAGUCUAGCAGCCUGCUAAAUCUUUUUGAAACGUGAGGCAUUCAAUCAUCUGAAGUUGCCCUGGGUCACUGUAAUCGUGCUGCAGCACAACUGGCAACUCUCCAGGCCUUUGUGAAGCAGCUCCCUAUGUGCAUCUUUUGUGACUCACUCUGUGCAUUUUCUGUGUACAAAUUUCUAAAUAUUUUUGCCGACCACAAAUACAAUGAAAAUUUGACACAUGCGCAGACAACUAGUACCAGGCCUAGUUGUUCGCCUAACCGUUAUAAAAGCGAAAACUCGGCCUGGGAUCAAGGCUAGAACUAUAAGCCUUGCUUUGCUCAGAAUUAAUUGCCACUUCAUGAUAUUCAAACUGCAUAACAGGCUCAACAGGUUUAACAGCACAAUUUAUUCAUGGUCAUGUAGACUUGUAGUGUUUAUAAACAAACAAUUACUCACUGCACUGUUAGUUAGUGUUGUAGUGCACAGCACAUUUCUACAUACGGUUACGGUAGCUUCUUAAUUGUGUAUAAGGCUGAACAGACAGACUCUGGUACUAGAUCUUUCAGACACGCUGUACAUUGUGAGACGGAGAUGGGACGAGUAGAUAAUAUUGCUAUUGCCUGUUUCGUUCUCAUAACACUGCCUUAUGAGAUAAGUUGUCAAUGUUCUGGAAGUUCUGACAUUGGUAAUACAGAAUGUGUGUUACUUACACCAUAUUAUUCGCAAUAUCAGUGGGCAACCUGUUUGACUCAUGAGUACGUUCACCGUGCAAGUAAUCAGAGGCAUAUCUGUAGAAACUACGCAACACGUUGCUGGUACCAGUGUCAACUAGAAAUAAAUAAUGAGGAAAAUGGUCCAGUGUUUGACAACUGCGCAUGCUCCUCUGGAGACACUAUACCACCGUCCGAUGAUACCAUGCCCACUUUAGCUCCAGAAUGCUUCAGCCCAAGUGGGGAUGACUGCAAUUGGUAUCGAGACUGUCUAGAGGAGCGCUACCAAUGUGAAGCGACAGGAGAUGGAUAUGCCAUAGAAUAUGCAAAAAAAUUCUGCGAUCUUUUUAUGGAAGGAUCAAGUGAUUUCAGUAGUCAAGGAAUGAUGUGGAUUGACGGAGUACGUAAAUGCUUACAGGUAGUUUUGGUGCCGUCCCUGCGACCUUUUUUAAGCAAAACAUGUGCUGACAUCAAACAAGAAGCAUUUGAUAGCCAUUCAAGAUGCUACCUUGAACCAGGAUCAGGAGUGCCUUCAAUUUGUGAUCUUUCAAUAAGUGAUAAAUUAGCUGCUUUUUGUACUGUAAACUGUAUAUCUGGAUCAAGAGCUUUUACUAUGGAGCCAAUUGAAACAGGGAGACAAAUGCUCGAAGUUAUACAUGGAUGUGCAGCCAGAGGAAUUAUGUUCUAUGGAAAUAAAGUUGCAGCACUUUCACUUUUUCUCAAGUCCAAGAUAGUUGAUAAUACUGUACUGACAGCAGCCAAGAUAACGAGCUAUAUUGCAAAUAAGCUACAAUUUGAUGAGAAAGCAAUUGGAUGGUUCCCUUUUGUUGAUCGCUCAGAAGAUGACACGAACCAACGCAAGCGUCGUGAUGUCAAGACACAAAACAGUGAUAACCCAAUUGUUCUACUGUUAUUUAGCUUGGCUUCAUUGAAUAUUUCCACCAAUCAAGUGGAUAAUGCAUACAGCAUUGACCAAAUUGUGAGUGAAAUCGCAAAUGCUGUGCAAAAUGGACUACUCUCAAGUAUCCCAGUUGCGGUGAAUAAUACACAAACUUUUUAUGGGGUAUCAAGUCUCGGACAGUGUGAAGAUGUUCUCUGUAGCAACGGUACAAAUGUAACGAUCUUAGCUACCAGUGGAGCAAACGUCUCAAGGCACUUCAAAAUGAGCAUGGUAGUGUUCAGUGUAUACACUUUGCUCGUGUGCCUUUUCUUAAAAUGAAGAUUAUACAUCAAAUUGCUGUUAGAUUUGAAAGCUGCCGAUAAUCUGCACUUGUGUACAGUAAUAUUCUGUAUGAACGUCUUAAAACUAUAUACGCUGAUUUCUUAUUUAAUUACAUACACAUAAUCAUAACACAUAAGAAUAAGAGAAAGUUAUUUGCUGCAUGUAUAUUCUUGCUGCCAACUCUGGCCACAUCUUUUGUUUACAUUUUAUAUUGUAUUCAUAAGACACAUGCACCCAUGCACUGAUACCAAGUGCAUAAAUUAUACAAUUAUUUUUGCCAUUUGA